GCAGUGGUGGUUCAGUGGUGGAAUUCUUGUCUUUCAUGUUAGAGACCCAAGUUCGAUUCCUGGCCAUGCG
rnacentral:tRNA from 1 species